CCGGGAGCAUUGAUUUUGAGAUUGCAAACUAGUUUUAGUGGGUAAUGCAAGGCACUUGUAUUGGUUCGAACCCCGAGCGCACGCCAACAGACAACACAAGGCGGUGUGGAGCAACACGCUGUUUUAAUAAGCGCCCGAGCGCCGGCGGGCUGAGGCCUAAAAUGGCGUCAGCCCGAAACGGGGACGGGGCAGGGGUUUUAUAGUCUCCUGUUAACAGGACGUGUCUGACGUAACUGCUACGCUUACCCAGACGGCCUCUCUCUUGGUCUUCGGCGGGUACGUGUCUUCCGGCCAGCUCUCUUCCGCUUCUGCUGUCUUGAUGACGCACAGUGCUGGCGCAAGUCGUCUUGCGCCAGGCGACUGGGUCUGAGGAGGCAGGAGUUAUUCAUUCCCUUAAGCUUUCAGGCCGGGGGGAGAAUCUUUCAGGUGGUAGCUGCAAGAACUCUUAGUAUGUUGACCUCACCUCUGCCUUCCACAUACCACUACCAGUGAGGAAUUAGGAAUGCAUGAGAAGAGUGUCCAAGAAGAGUGUCCUCAUUCAUGCAAGGCUUAAGAGAGAAUGCAGGUCAACAUCACCAUGUCAAUCAGAGAAUACUUCUGUUGGGUUGAAUGACUCUCUGCCCCCAGUCUGACUGGUUGGAAGAGGCCCUUUUCCCAGCCUUUGUCUUUCAGAGUGACUAACCAUACCAGUUUGACCAAGACUGUAUUGGCUGCAGCACUUAAAAGCUCACAUCCCGGAAAUCCUUUGGUCCUCGGUGAAUUGGGAUGGUUGGUUACCCUAUUACUGAUGAUUGUAAUUCUCAGGAAAGAGAUCUUCAUGUAAACAGAGUCCCUCUUAUUGGCUGAAGUGAAGAGUCAUUCUGAG
rnacentral:lncRNA from 10 species